GGGAACUCAGCUCUAUCAGUUAACUUUUUUCUUUGUCUCCACUCUUUCCCUGACUCCUUCUUAAGAUUACAGAGCCAAAGCUGAAUAAUGGAAACAACAUUUGGGUUUCCUUUAAGUGCCAGAGAAGAAAAACAUGGAAAUGAAGAGAUUAAAUAACUUGAACCUGGACAAUCAGCCUUCCAAACUCAUGCCUCUAACCACCACAAUCUGGCCCUGCCUGAAUUUGACAAGAAACAGCCAGUCAUGCAGAAGGAACAGCAUAUGCAAGUUCAAAGGCAAUGAGGUGGGAAGAGCGCAGCAUCCUGAUAGAACUGAAGGAUCAGUGUGGUCAGACAGGAGACAAACAAGUGGAUGCCACUGGAAGGCUUUAAGAAAAGAGUGCUAUGAUCUGAUGUCUCUUUUAAAAAAUCACUUUAGCAGUUAUGUAGAAAGUGAACUGUACCCCCACAAGCUGUUACUUUAGCCUGCAUCUGACUUUUAGGUUUGGUCUAAUUUACUAUUCUGCCUGGCCUCCAAUAACAAUGCAAUGUUAUUUUAGAUAAAAUAUUAUGACGUGUGAUCUGUAUCUCAACACAUCACAUCACUAAAUUGGGCUAUAUAACCUUGAGUUAAGUUUCUCUGAAAAAAAAAUUAUUACUAUGUGUCCUGUUAUCAUUGAGAGUCCUAUGUGGGGAUGUUCUAAAAAGCACAGAAAAACUAACUACAAUGUAGUAUUUUGUUGCAGACAUGUAACAAAAGUUUUACAAUUUGCCUUAAACCAUUCCUUACCCUUCCCUUACCGAACCCU